UACGAAGGGUGCAAGCGUUAAUCGGAAUUACUGGGCGUAAAGCGCGCGUAGGUGGUUCAGCAAGUUGGAUGUGAAAGCCCUGGGCUCAACCUGGGAACUGCGUCCAAAACUACGCGACUAGAGUACCGGAGAGGAUAGCGGAAUUCACGGUGUAGCAGUGAAAUGCGUAGAUAUCGUGAAGAACACCAGCGGCGAAGGCGGCUAUCUGGAAGGUAACUGACGCUCAGGCACGAAAGCGUGGGGAGCAAAAGGGAUUAGAAACCCCGGUAGU
rnacentral:rRNA from 1 species